AAAACACGAAAAUUAAGUGCAAGUGAGAUGAAUAUAGAUAGGCCUCAUGCUGCAAGCAGACUCGUACUAACAAAGGUUCAAGCAAGAAUAACAGCUGCAAAAUUAGGCUUGUUGUCCAAUCAGAGGCCGCCCUUCUGUUUCAAGGUGAUCUUGUCCCCAAGACUGAAGGGCAAUGCCUCGAGUCUUGCUUCUAAUUCUGAUGUAUCCACUGAGCUUACCAUCUGCUUGUUUCUCAAAACUCACAUUCACCAAAGUAUCCUCCCCAAAAACACUCUUUGGGUACAGAGGACUCCACAUUCUCCUUCCAGUGUCGAUCUAAUGCCCAAUUAGCCAGGGAUGAGCAGGAAUUAAUGACCAUCAAUCAUCCGCCCAGAAGGCGUAAAGAUUUUAAAAAGAAAAUACACGUACUCCUACAUGCAUGUUACACGUAUUUAUGCACCUAUGGAAAAUGUCAAUAUUGAACUGUAUUUUGUUUACAUUAUGACAUGGUGGCUAAGUUUUUACGUAAAAGUUUGGAUUUGUAUAAAGAGAAAUAGAAGACAUAAAUUUCAAAUGAUUCUCUCUGUCUAGUCAUUUCAACAUUCAAAUUCAAAAGAUUCCAUCUGAAUUUAGUUUAACAUAAAUUGUACUUAAUGAAAAAUAAACAUAGAUUGUAUUGCAUUUAAUGUUUCAUGGUGAUGUAAACACUGUUACAAACCUAUCGUUUUAAAUUUGUCCAUCAAAAUGGAACAUAAGUAAAACUGAGAUUGUUUUGUCUCUCAAGAGUGAUGCCGCGUCUAAAAGGUCAAACUUACCAUCAUCCAGGAUAUCUAAUCUCUGAUUUGAUGGUAUCCAAUUCCUACACUCUGAAUAAAUGAAUAAAAGAAAAAGGAGAGAGAGAACUUAAAUAUAAAAAGGGGUUGAAAUCUCAAUUCUAACAAUUCCAAAACUACACUUCUAACCUUUGAUAACCUAUACUGCUUCAAAUCACCAACUGAAAGAUUUCUGAGUCAAAGGUAUCCCAAGUGCGACUCAUAGGAAUAAUUGUGCACAAUAGGAAAAAAACAAGCUCAUUAUUUUUUUUAAAAUCUAAUGCCAGGGUGUGCAUGCCCAAGGUUAUCAAAUAAAAUGUCCCUUCCCCUGUAUGCAAAACAUAAUUUUUUGCAUAGUAAAUUUUUGUUUAUUCUUUCAUAUGUACACUUUUAGCAUACCUUCAGAACAAGUUAUCUAGCCUUCAUGAACCACAUUAUAUCAAGGGGGAAUGCAAAAAAACAUAUGUUGCAGUAAAUCUUCGAGCAAGAAAAAACAAAAACAGUUGUUGCAAUAAAUCUUGAGUGCAAUACCUGGGAUUCUGCCAUAUCUUGAUGUUUCAAACAUUUCCUUAAGGCCAUAUCAGCGAGCUAUGUGCCUCAUCAAUAGUGUGAACACGAUUUAAAUCUGAGAUGGCUGGUGUCUAAUUUUCAAUUUUUUCUUCAAACAAAGCCAGUUCCAAACUCAAAUACUUACAGGUUGCAACUGGUGACAAGCAUAAAAGUUUGUAAGAAGUUAUUAAUAUAGAUCCUCUAAUGUAAAGAGUUAGGACAACCUUACGAUGAAUACUAAUGCAGUAGAACAUUUUAGAUAGAAAAUAAAGGAUAUCUAUAUACAAGUACUAUAGCCACACUAUUCAAUGAUACUUUAGCAGUUUCUUAAUUUAAGGUUUUAUGUUUCUGUAUUCUAUUUAGGGGGAUGGGGGCAGGGAAGAUAAUGAUAGAAGUGAGCUCACAAGUGUAAUUUUUCUGAGGGAUGCCAAGGGUCAUUAGUCAUGACUCACAACUAGUCAUCAAAAGCCAUAAAGGCCAAGACUACAAAUCAGAGGCUCUACUUUUGUUUCUUAGAAUGGUUAGCCUUUGACUUCAUAGUUCCUUUGAAAACCUUAGGGUUUGUUGUGAUUAACAGAGAUAUGUUUUCCUUUUUCCCUUUCAAGGAACACAUUUCAUCACCAGCUAAAUAUUUCAUCGUCUCAUUGCACUCUUCAAUAUGUCAGCGUGUAUUAAAGUCAAGGCUACUCAGAUUUUGUAUCAAAGAAGUACAGAAACGUUGAAAAAGAUUGAGCUGAAGUUGGCAAAGUAAAGAUGCCAAAGAUUCCAUUAUUAGAAACCGGUAUGAACUAAAAAUAGUAGUUCCGCUAUUUUUAUACAUUUUGAGUCUCCAUUUAUGAUCCCCUCGUGAUGUUGAUCAGCCCACAACCAUGGGCUAGAAAGAGCAAAAAAGUUUGGUGAAAUCACGUGACAGAGAGAUACAAAAAGACAGGUAAGGGAUUCCAGUCUACAAAAACAUUACAAUUAUAUUAAGGCUCUUUUCUCAGCAUGUUCUAAAAUAGCAGUUCCAGUUUGUAAUCACAAUAAGGGCUUCAAGAAGAAAAGUCUGAAAUAUCCGUAGAAAUUUAAAUUUUGCUCUCUUUGACGCCACACCAUAACUGCUUUUAGCUUUAGUACCAAUUGGUUUACUUAAGCGGGCAAUAAGGGAGACGAAUAUCUGUACAUAACUAUCAUAAAGGACGACAACGUGAAAACCUUCCAGAGUCAAGUCAAACAAGCCUUAGAUUCCUUAACCAAAAGAAAAUAGUAUAUAUGCUAUCAACCUUAAUGCAAUUUUAUUUUCAAAUAAAGAUACUUAAGAAUCAGACAACCCUGAUUUGUAAACAGAUGGUAAUGAUAUCAUAGGUGCCCCCAGCUCAACACAGUUACCACCUAUGCAAAGGCCCAACAACUCUAUGUCAAGUUACAAUAAUAGAACUAUUAAUGAGAGGAAAUGGACUUAAAAGUUUAUUCAUCAGACAGACUUGAAAUAGGAGCUGAUAGGAGCUAAUAGGAGCUACAUACAUAGAGAAUUUCAAUCUUACAACAUAUAAUGGAAAUUUGUCAUUAUAUUCAAGUGAAUACAACUUGACAUAACUUAUUAAACUGCUAACAGAUGACACUCCAUAAGUACAUGGCACAGUGAAAAUCAUAAAUGAGUUCACCAAAACAAGAUGUUGCUAAAAGAACAAGAUGAAAAAAUGACAUGGUAAACGAAACAAUUAUGCUCAGACCAAAAAAGAAAAGCAACAAUUAUGAACUAAUUAUUUUCAUCCUAACCCAGCAAUAACUAUAAACUCCUAAAAGCAAUUGAAUUACAAGUAAUGAAACAAUCUUCAAACAAAUAAGAUGCAAAAAAUGAGUUAUGUACAGAUCUACCAACCUCCCAUGUUCAAGGAUCAUUUUGGAGAUGGUAAGGAGAUGUAACAUGUAUCCCAUGGUCUACAGUCAGCAGUAUUAAGAAUAAGAAUAUGCACCUGCACAUUAACCAUAUUACUUCAGAACAAGAUGCGCAAAUUAAAUAUGAUAACUUUUUUAAAAUAAGAAUUCUUCAUGCAGAAAGUAAACACCUAACCUUUUGAAUGUUUCCAUAUCAUUCCUGAUUUGCACAUGUAGUGGGCUGAUGCAACCCAUGAACCAAUGUUGUAUAUGUAAUCUCAUCUAAACCUACACCUUUACUGGACAUAUGAUCACAUACUUCAAAAGCUUCUUCCACCAUCCUUUCUUUGCAAAAUCCAUUUGUUAAGGCAUUAUAGGUAACGGCAUCUGGGGCAAUUCCCAUUUUUGCCAUCUCGCAUAGAAGUUUAGUUGCUUCUUCCAUAUUGCCUAGUUUAGAAUACCCAUCAAUCAUGACAGUGUAGGUAAUCUUAUUAGGUUGUAUGUUAUCUGAAGACAUCUCCAGAAAGGCACUCCUUACUUUAUCCAUUUGGCCUAGCUUACAAUAACCAUGAAUCAGUGCAGUGUAACAAACAACAUUUGGCAACAAACCAUCCUUCCUCAUUUCAUCCAGAAGGCAUUUUGCAUCCUCAACAUCGCCAAUAUUGCAUAGUCCAUGUAUAAGAGAAGAAUAUGUGCCACAAGAUGGUUGAAUGCCCUUCUUUUUCAUGUCACAACGAAGACCAAGGGCAGCAGUCAUAUUCCCAUCUGUGCAGUAUGCUCUGAUUAGUGUAUUAUAAACAACUGAAUUUAGUUCCACUUCCUUAUUCACCAACUUACUGAAGAGAUUUUCACCCUCUUUCAUUCUUCCAGCUUGACAGUACCCAUCUAUCAUCACCCCAUAUGUAUAGACAUUGGGAACAAGACCACGAUUUUCACACUCAUCCCAAAGUUUAACCGCAUCGUCCACUUUUCCCAUAUUACAUAGGCCAUGCAUUAGCAAAUUAUAAGUGUAAGUAUCUGGUUCAAUUCCUUGUUUAGCCAUCUCUUCCUUAAGCUUAAAACCUUCCUCCACUUUUCCCUCCUUGCAACAACCCAAGAUAAGUGUGUUGUAUGAGAUUCUAUCCAAUACCAAACCUCUUUCUAGCAUCGGUUUGAGUAGCAUAACAACCUCUUGCAUGCUACGAGAUUCACAAAGUCCAUGAAUUAGAGCAUUUGAGGUCGCUGUGUUGGCUGCAACUCCUUUCUCCCAUAGCCUAAACCAAAGCCCAAGUGCCUCAGAAUGCUUUCCAUCUUUACAGAGCCCACCAACCAAUGUGGUAAGCAAGCUAUCACUGGGCCUAAAGUUUCUUAAUAGCAUUUCAGUAGUGAAUUUUAGUGCAGAAUCAAACCUAGACUUCAUGCAUAACCAGUGAAUAACCGAGAAACAAACAGCUUGGUUUAUGGAUAAACCACCAGAUAUAAUCUUGUCUAAAACUUGCUCAGCAUGAUCAAAUUGAUCACUUCUACAAAACCCCUGCAGUAGAGAAUUAAGAGUAACAGAAUUGGGAGUUAACCCAUUGGAUAACAUAUUAUCCCUUAUCUUUAGUGCCUCACUAAUAUUUCCCGUUUUACAAUAUCCAUCAAUCAAUGUGUUAUAGACAACCUCGUUCGGGACAAAUCCUCUGUUGCACAUUUCCUUCAAAACACAAUUUGCAUCAUGAAACUUCUCCAGCUUUAUCAAACCAUUAAUGAGCACACUAUAUGUUAUAAGACUCGGGCUCACAUUGUUUUCUAUCAUCUUCUUCUUAAACUGGAAGGCCUCUACUAAUCUUCUGCUCUUACAGAGCCCAUGAAUAAUAUUAUUGUACGUAACCACAUUUGGGACAAUACCCAGCCCCUCCAUUUUCGAAAACAAACCUAUUGCAUCAUCAACCUUUCCUCCCUUACAAAAUGCAUUAAUCGCAGUAGUAAACAAGUAAACAUCAGGAGAAACACCUCGGCACAUAACUUCAAAUACAUCAUAACUCUUAUGAAGUUCGUUAGCCUUCACUAAAGAACUCAACAAAAAGUUACAAGUCUUCAAUGAUGGAAAAACACCCUUUUUAGAAAAAAUUACAAACGCAUCAAUGGCAUAACCAAAACCCAUAUUCUUGAAUUGCGUACAGUAAACAUGAAUCAACAAAUCCAAUGCCUGAACCCCAAGACCUUGUGUGGACACGGUAUUCAAGUCUAACAUGGCAAUGGCAAUCUCCAUAUGCCUUUGAUUGUGGUUAGCAUAUAAAACUGGCACAUUCCCAUCAAUCAAACGGAUCAAAAGCAAUCUCGCAGGCGACACAAGAUUCGAAAGAAUAAGCAGACGAACUAAAACACAAAAGGAUCGUACAGUAAACUGAAACUUAAAAGAUUCAGAAGCAAAGUAAAAGAAAUGAAGAGCUGUUUUGGGGUUCACAUUGGAGCUAAUGGAACAGAAUACCCUAUCAAAUUCAUGAGAGGACAAAAGGGGUAUCAGAGCUUUACAUUUAGAAGAAUCCAGAGAUGGUUUUGAAAGAAUAGAAGAUACCCAGUUGUGCAAACUCUGAUUGGGAGGCUGUGGUUCCUUCGGAACCUGUAAUGGUGGCGGUUGAGGAGGCUCUUUGGGGCGUUGGAGGUUGCAGGUAACGCACGUUAAGGGGCGGUUGAUGCGGAAGAGAAGAGUGGGUUUCGAGAUUGAAAGCCUUCUAAGAUCCAUAGGAAAAUGCAUGUCAUUAGUUGUUUUGGGUCUCUGGAUUUUGUGGAUUUUACUCAAGGGUUUUAUGCCAUUGCCACUGGCGGAGCCACCAUGGGGUCAAUGGCAGCCAUGAAAAUGGGCUUGAAGGUCCCUACCCCUUAAAGUUGCGUAACAGCUGCUCAACGGAAGUCCAGAGAAGGAGAAGGAGCUAGCCGUCGUCGCAGGGUUUUUGUCAGCCUCUUUGUUAGGCCAUCAAGUCAUUGAGGAUUUGUGCUGGGUGAGGAAAAUGGAGGGGCUGCGUUCUGGGGAUGGUCGAGGAAGGGUUAGGGGGGGUUAGGUUGUUUUUCUUCUUGUUUUUGUUUUUGUUUUUGUUUUUUGUUUUUUAAUAGUAAUUUUUACUUUGAGAGCCCAUCCCUAUUAACAAUUUAUCGAAUAUUUUAAACACGUUUGCUAAUAUCACUUUAUCUAUUUUUAAAUUUGUUUUUGUUUCAAUAGCUUUUUCUUUUUUGGUACUAUUAAUUUCUUAAAUCGUUUUAAUUUUAUUUUUAUCAAAUAGCUAUUUAGUCGCUUCGUACACAAAUUGUUUGCCCAUAAUUAACUUCCCAAAAGUCCCCCAAAUUUUGUUAGAACAGCAUUAAUAUAAGUUUUAGGAUGAUGAAGGUUAUGAACAGUUUAUUUAUUGAUUUAUUUUUUGGUUUCUUGAAGUAAUUGUGUAUUGGGAAUCGAAAAAUUAAUCCGAAAAUCAAACUCCUAGAAACGCAAUCGUCUCUGAACUUUGAGCCUAUCAAAUUUUGUGUGGUCAUUAAUAAAUCUAUUAAAAUAAUGAAGGUCCAGGGAGGUAUCAAUUGAUAGAAAUAUCUAACACAAAGCUUAAUAAAAGAAAAUGAGUCGACAAACUUGAUAUUAAAAUUAUGUGACAGGCGAAACUUGCUGGGGCUAUUGAUAGCAACAGCUAAUACAAAUUGAAAACAUGAAAUGUUACAAUUAACAAAAGAAAUGUAUACAGUGGGCAUCACUACAAAUUUACCCUGAAUAUAUUGUGGAUAGCAGCAAUAUGUCCUAACUAUCCACUUACUGGGAAAAACAAAAAAUCAAAAGAAUUCUAUAACAGAUGCGAUCCCCGGUAAAAGCGCAAAAAUUAAGUGCAAGUGAGAUGAAUAUAGAUAGGCAUCAUGCUGCAAACAGACUAGUACUAACAAAGGUUCAAGCAAAGAAUAACAGCUGCAAAAUUAGGCUGGGUUGUCCAAUCAGAGGCCGCCCUUUUGUUUCAAGGUGAUCUUGUCCCCGAGACUGAGGGCAAUGCCUUGAGUCUUGCUUCUAAUUCUGAUGUAUCCACUGAGCUUACCAUCUGCUUGUUUCUCAACACUCACAUUCACCAAAGCAUCCUCCCCGAAAACACUCUUUGCGUACAGAUUGGCAGCGAGGACUCCACAUUCUCCUUCCAGUGCCAAUCUAAUGCCCAAUUAGCCAGGGACGAGCAGGAAUAAAUGACCACCAAUCAUCCGCCCAGAAGGCAUAAAGAGAUUAAAAAGAAAAUACACUUACUCCUAUAUGCAUGUUACAUGUAUUUAUGCACCUAUGGAAAAUGUCAAUAUUGAACUGUAUUUUGUUUACAUUAUGACAUGGUGGCUAAGUUUUUACGUCACGUGUGCUACACUACUCCACUUCCAUCAAUUAGGUACUCUACCAAGCACUGGUAACGUAUCACACUUGUAAAGGUGACCAACAUGGCACUACCAUUGACAACUAUGUCAACUUCUUAAAUGAUUGUUGUAGAAAAUUAUAUCAUAUGUACACAUGUAUAUGUUUGUAUGCUUGCAUGUAAAUAGAUAUGUAUGAUUCUGUGCAUCAUGAAAAGAAUAAUUUAUUUCUUCAACAUGUAAAUAGAUAUGUAUGAUUCUGUGAUUCUGUGUAUGAUAAACAUGGUUAAUAGAGUGCCAAAACUUACGGUGGAGUCAGGCACUUCAUGUUAGUCGCUUUAACAACAUGAUUCAGAAAUUCCUUCUCGUCCUGAAUAACAGUAUUUACAGCAACCUGGGGAAAACAGUGUGUUAAUGCAUGGUAGAAUCCAAAUGCAUCUACCAAGGAAGAGCAGGGGUGGCAAGAAAGAAAUUGUAAACUAACAUAUAAGAUACACAUUGCUUGUGGAUGAGAACCCAAACAAAAGUCCACAGUAAGGAAAUGUUAUCAAGUUAUAAAAAAGAAAUCAUAAUUAAGGACAUCUAAGAUUCACAUUGUCAUUUAAUGUGAGAACGAAAACACAGGUCCACAAGCAUUAGAUAUGUAAAGAUGAUGCAUGAGCUAACACCCAAGGACGAUUCCGAACCAACACCAUCUACAAGAGCCUCCUUUAUUCAGCAGUAAUUAGAUAACACGAAAGCAAUUACCCAAGUUGCAUCAUGUAUGGUGCAACAACCACACAACGUAUCCACUAGCACGAGCCCACUGAUAUACUACUGAAUCUAUGCCAUUAAGAAACUCACAACUAUCAUUAUAACCAUAAUAAUAGCUACCAUAAUUAUUAUACUACAGCUUUAUUACCAGCACAGCAUCAUCAUAAUCAUAACCCGAAACUCAAGCAAUUAAAUAUCAAUGAAGAGGUUCAUCAUAUAAAUGCAUGUCUUGUAAGCCAUAUCUGAACAUUGGCAUUCGUGAACAUAAGCAUAACAUGAUCAAUUGAUGAUCAUGUAAUUGGGUUCAAAGACAUCAUAUCCUUUUGGGUCGUUGUGAAACCAUUUCAAAGAAGAAGCAUCUAAUGAUCAUAUCAAUGAAGAACCAAAAAAAAUUACAAAAAAUAAAAUAAAAUGAAAAACCAUAUCAAAUUACCGUACCUUGUUCUCCCACUCAAACUCAGCCCACAUUGUCCUAAAUGACACGUCAGCACAUGACGCAGGAGAGAUGUAAUCCAUUAUAUCAAUAUGAAUGUCAUUGAGAACAAUAACUGUUCUCUCAAGCACAUUUGAAGAAGUCUCAUAUACAAUGUUACCGAAUAUAACUCCCGUUUCAGUUGAAGAGACCUUAAUGUUAGCCUUUAUCUGUUUGCUUGAUUCCGGAGCUAGCGUAUAGUUUUGUGGACGCUCAACAAGUUUCAGAUCACCCAUUGUCGCCAACUCCAAGCACAAAUUCUGAAGGGUUUCCUUGGUUCGAUUGAUGACGGUAACAUCAAGAACAAUGUCAUAAUGAUUAACUGUUACAUAGGCUUCAGCAUAAACAGGAUCACUGAAUCCUGUGAGUUGAAGAAUGCGGUUGAGUUUGUUUGCAUCAUCUCUAUCCUUUGUGAAUUCUCCAGUAGCACGUUUGAGAUCAUCUUGAACCGCAUCUUCCAACUCGAGCUGGCUCAAACCCUGAAAAAAAAAUUGUGUACAUAUAAAAAGGCAUCCAAAGUUCCAAACUAUGUGAUGAAAACAAUGGUUUUAGCAGUCUAUCCGAAUUGAGACAAGAAAAGCCUAAUGCUGCCUUACCUUUCUGCUCUUAAGAUGGUAGAAAUCAAUAAGGUCAUCUGGUUGUGCACUCAAUAUCUGGGCUUUAGCUUUAGUUUCCUCUGUUUCGAGGAGCUGCUUAUCUGCAAGCAUUUUCACAAAGCUCUGUCUGCAUGACUCUAGCCAUAUCUUCCUCACUUCUUCACCUUUAUGGCAUAGUAACCUGAUGCAAAGAACUAUUCUAUCUCGAGAAUCAUUAUCAAUCGGAUGUGGAAGGACCGAGGAUUGACCCAAUUGAAGCAUAGAGACCAUGAUCAACAAUGCCUGUGUAGUUGCCUUGUUCACUUCAGCCUUUGAAGGCUGAAUCUCUUCCAAUCUCAAAACCAGCUUUGUUAAUGUGCAAGCUACAACUGUCUCAAGGAAAAAAUCACCCGAGAGAAUCAAUGAUCUCAAGUUCCCCACGGAAGCCAAAGAUCCUUGAACCAGGACAGGUGCAGACAUAGCAGUUUCCAGUGCAGCAGACUGGGUGGCAUAGGUCCCAUCUGCAAGGAUCACAGGCCUCCUAGAAGACACAGUGGUCGAGCUUACCACCUGAGAAUUCUUUGUAGCAUCUUGUGCCUCUUUUUCCUCAGAAGCUGUGUAAAAUGGGAGAUCCCCAAGACACUGCUUAAUGGUUGCAAUCCCACUCUCAACUUCAGAGAGCGAGAGACAAUACUCCCCGAUAAUCCAGAGGGAAUGAGUGCAAACCCUCGAAUUGCGGAUCUGGUAGAAAGUAUCUAGCAGCCUCGUUAUUACAGAAACACGCAGCUUGGGGUUGGUUUCAAUAAUCUCACGCACAAAAGCAGCCACAUCCAGGGCUGAAGCAACAUUGGUAUCGCCCAAGAAAUCCAUCAAAGGAUGCACCACCGUGCUCGCCACCUCAGGAAACUUAACUGCGCAUGCAUAUAUUGCUUGCACUAACAUCUGCCUAUACUCCCCGUUCUUCUCAAGCUCCCCACUCUGGGUCUUCACGACCUCCUUCUUCAACAUCAUCACAACCUGAUUAAUAUUCCGGGAAGUAAUCAAAUCAAGCACAAUAUCAAGAGUCUUCCUCCUAAUAUCCACAUUCGGACUUGACAGUGCCCUCAGCACAUCCAUAACCAACUCAACCAUAAUCUCCCUAUGCGAAGCCUUGAGCUCACUAAUCCUAUCCAGCAAAAUCAACUUCACAUUGUUAUCGCUCUGCGACAACAACAACUGAGAAUAAGUGUUGGCUGCUGCUUUUAUGGCCGUAGGUGCCGAAGACAACGACACAAGCGUUCCAGCACACUCAUAAACAACGGCACUCGACGGUGCAUCCAGCAACGAUAUAAUAAUCUUAAUGUACUUGGAUUUCUCACCCUUAUUCACUCUACAGACCUUCUUAAUCAAUUCCAACACGACCAUUUGGAGCUGUUCCCCCCACUCAAUAAUCCUACUGAUAUGUGUAAACAAAUAAUUCACAGCCCUAUCUUGCGCGCAAUUAAAGAGCAUAAGGAAAGCAUUUCGCUUACUGGAAGGGUCCUGCUCGGAGGCCAAGAACCGAUCGAUGAUCUCCGGCGCGCUAUCCAGCAAUGUCUCCCCCUGCGGAAGCCUAUACACGAACAUGAUCGCCAGCACGGCAUUUCGUCGAACAAAUGGGUGGCGGUGCUCCAAAUUGGUGAGAAUCGAAGGGAUCAGAGGCUCGAUGAUCUCGGCCUCGUUCAAUCGGCAGAGAAAUCGCAGCGUAACGCCUCGGAUGUACUCGUUCGGGUGCUGAAGAUUGUUGCGGAGGUUCUGGCAGAUGAGGAUCAUCUCCGGGAGGAUCUUGCCUUUGGAGUCGGUUUUCUCUACGAUCUCAAGGUAGAGGAGGAGGAGCUUCUGGACUGUGUGGUCCUCGGAGGGCAGUACGUAUCGGAUGAUGGUGAUAAAGAGGUGGGGAAUGGUGUCGCCGUUGAGGAGGAGCAUGAUGGCCUUCUUGAGGGCUUCGAUCUUCAAUUCGACGUCGUUUCCUUCAAGGGCUUCUUUAAUCUCGUUGGCUAGGGCUGGUGUGCCUUUGUCGAAGUGGACGAGGAGAGUGCAUGACUUCUCCAUCAUUGGGGAUCCGAAUCGGAAUUGGAUCUCAGGGAAUCAGAAAUGCCGGAUCUAAAUGAGAGAAAUGAGAAGGAGGAGAAGAACAAGAAGAGAUCUGGGUUUGUUUUGGUUGUGGUGGAUCCGAUUUGGUGUCUGGUGUUGGCUUUGGCUUAGAUUGGAAGUGACUACUGCUGAAUUUAUCUUGUGUUGCGCCUAAGGAAUUUGUCUCGUGUUGCGCUCAAUCAUUUAUCAAGUAGAAAGUUUGGUGUUUGGCCCCUUUAGGCUUUGAUGUUUACAAUUUGGAGAGUUUUAAAUCGCCCCGACGGCAUGGCAUGGCGCUGGUUUUUGAGAAGAAAAUAUAUUUCAUUAAAAAAAACCAUGAAACAUACAGAGUGAGUAAACCAAGAUAAAGAUUCAAGAAUUAGUGACAGGCCCAAAGGGCCCAACAAGAAAAUAAAAACAAGUGUGAGGCCUUGAUAAUAAAAAUAUGGAAUAGAAAGGUAACAAUAUAAAAAGCAAGCUCGCAAGAAUACAAAUGAUUUGAAUUUAAUUUGUAUAUUUUUUAUUAAAUUAAAGAAAAUGGCUUGAUAAUUAAAAUAAUUUAAAUAAAUAUCUCUCUCUCUCCCUUUAAAAAAAUAAAAGUCACUCAAAAUAUUUUGGCAUAUAGAGCUUGUGGUCAUCCUUUACAAACCGAUUUCGUAGCGUAGGGAAAAUCUUACAUGGGCCAAAUGAGAAGGGAGAAAUUUACUUUGAUGUUAACCACAAAUUAAUUACAAUUAUUAUUUAUACCAUAUUUAUUAAGUUCGAUAAACAUUUUAUCAAUAAAUGUGUUACGCAUAACAUUAUUCUUUUCUCAAACCAUAUAGUAUUUUGUUCAAAAACUUGGGACAUUGAUCCAUGACUAACAUAAAAUUAGUUGAGCAAUCUUGCUCUUCCAACUUUUGAUAUUCAUUCAAAUCAAGCUUUUAUUAAUUAAAGAUUGAAAGCAAUUACCCAAAUACGUAUGAAUUAAUCUAUUUUUUUAAAUUGAAAUGUUGCAGUUUUAAUUAUUAAAUUGUUUUAUUUUAUUUUAUAAAAAAGCAAUAAACUUUUAUUAGAUCAAUAAGAAAAAGUAGUACAAAGGACAUAGACUCUAUAACAAGAUGACAGACGUGGGUAAAACUUCCCCAAGUCAACUGCAAAAGAUGAAGUAAUGAUCUGGAAAACUCACACAGCUUAAUAAAAGAAAAUGAGUCCAUAAACUUGAUAUUAAAAUAUGUGACAAGCGAAACUUGCUGGGGGUAUUGAUAGCAACAGCUAAUACAAAUUGAAAACAGGAAAUGUUACAAUUAACAACAGAAAUGCAUACGGUGGGCAUCGCUACAAAAUUACUUGAAAAAUAUUGUGGAUGGCAGCAAUACGUCCUAACCAUCCUCUUACUUGAAAAGCAAAAAAAGCAAAAGAAUCCUAUAACAAACACGAUCCUCAGUAAAAGGUUGAAGCAAGAAUAACAGCUGCAAAAUUAGGCUGUGUCCAAUCAGAGGCCGCCCUUCUGUUUCAAGGUGAUCUUGUCCCCAAGACUGAGGGCAAUGCCUUGAGUCUUGCUUCUAAUUCUGAUGUAUCCACUUAGCUUACCAUCGGCUUGUUUCUCAACACUCACAUUCACCAAAGCAUCCUCCCCGAAAACACUCUUUGCGUACAAAUUUGCAGCGAGGACUCCACACUCUCCUUCCAGUGCCGAUCUAAUGCCCAAUUAGCGAGGGAUGAGCAGAAAUUAAUGACCAUCAAUCAUCCGCUCAGAAGGCGUAAAGAGAUUAAAAGGAAAAUACACUUACUCUUAUAUGCAUGUUACAUGUAUAAGCACCUCUGGAAAAUGUCAAAGUUCAACUGUAUUUU
rnacentral:lncRNA from 1 species